GAUGAAGAACGCAGCGAAAUGCGAUAAGUAAUGUGAAUUGCAGAAUUCAGUGAAUCAUCGAAUCUUUGAACGCACAUUGCGCCCGCCAGUAUUCUGGCGGGCAUGCCUGUUCGAGCGUCAUUUCAACCAUCAAGCCCCAGGCUUGUGUUGGGGACCUGCGGCUGCCGCAGGCCCUGAAAACCAGUGGCGGGCUCGCUGUCACACCGGGCGUAGUAGAUUUUAUCUCGCUCAGGGCGUGCUGCGGGUACCGGCCGUUAAAAAGCCUUUUUUACCCAAGGUUGACCUCGGAUCAGGUAGGAAGACCCGCUGAACUUAAGCAUAUCAAUAAGCGGAGGA
rnacentral:misc_RNA from 1 species